rnacentral:lncRNA from 1 species
AAGAAGAGGCAGAAGAGUCGGGACUACAAGUCCAUGCGCCUCAUACUCAGUGCUGUGGUCAAUCCUGAACGACAAUUAGUAGGACUUAGAAGCACCAUGACAGCAAGUAUUUGGUCAUAUACGUGUUUAAUCUUUGUUAGGUUAUUUGCGAGAGGAAGACACACCCUUAAUGUGGGACAUAACAUUCUGUGGUCUGAGGUCCCAUAAUGAAUAAAAAGGAGAAAGUGGGCUCAAUACAAGCACUCAUCAGGGUGGACAGUUCCCUCAAGGCCUUGCUGCCACGACUCCCUGCUACCUUGGACUGUGUGCCCUCAAACUGUGAGCCCAAAUAAACUCUUUCUUCCUUUCUCAAGGUGUUUUAUCAUGGCAAACAGGAAAAAAGAAUACUAAAAAAAAAAAAAAAAAAAAAGACUGUCAUGAAGUGGGGCUGUUGCCAUGAUAAACCCAACCAUAUAGUUCUUACCUGUUUGGAACUGGUUUGUUGGAGGAACAUGGAAGAGUUUUGAAACUUUGGGCUAGAAAAGCCUUUGAGUACUACAGGCAUAGUUUAGUGGGUCAUGCCCGUGGGAACCUGGAGAAUAAUUCUGAGAGCAAUGGGGACAGCAGAGGCCUGGUUCACAAGGUUCCCAGUGAAGAGCCAGUGGGACCAUUCAUGGGAUAUUCUGGGAAAUAGUCCGCCUGUGUCAUAAGAGCCUGAAUCUGGUUGAAUUUAAAGGCUUGUUGUCUCACUCCAGGCCUCUGCUGACAAAGCAUGCCAUGGUGGGGAGCACAAGUCACUGAAGAGAGGAGGACUGGCGAGCAGGCAGGAGUUCAAAGCCAACCAGGACUACACAGUGAGACCAUCUCAACAUUACCCCCUCCCCUCCCAUCUAGAAUAAUAUCUGUAGUUUCUGAUCUGUAUUUAACACACUCAACUGUACAAUAAAAUAUAAUUUACUCCC